UACGUAGGUGGCAAGCGUUACUCGGAAUCACUAGGCGUAAAGCGCAGGUAGGCGGUUCGGUAAGUCUUUUGUGAAAGCUCCUGGCUUAACUGGGAGAGGUCAAAGGAAACUACCGGGCUAGAGUUUGGUAGGGGAUACUGGAAUUCCUGGUGUAGCGGUGAAAUGCGUAGAUAUCAGGAGGAAUACCUAUGGCGAAAGCAGGUAUCUGGGCCACAACUGACGCUGAGCUGCGAAAGCUAGGGGAGCAAACAGG
rnacentral:rRNA from 1 species